rnacentral:lncRNA from 10 species
GGCAGAAUAUCCCAAACUUGAAACAGUGAUAUGAACUAAAAAUAAAAUCCUAAGCGCCCCCCAACAACUGAUGGAAUGGCCACAGAAACCCCAGAAAAACCUUACAGCUGAGUUCCUGGCCAUGAUGGGAUGGGAGGCUGGACGGGCCUCAGAUACCCCUCCAGUUUACAGUUUAGACACAACAAUAACCAGCUUUAAAACGGAGAUUAUAAAAACGAACAGAACAGACUCUUUGCGGCAAUGAGAUACCAAAUUAUGAACAGGACCUAAGGCCAUUGCAGGCAAGGGUGAAGUCACACACCCCGCAUGCAAAGAAUCGACUGUCCUCACUGCCACCAGGUUUUUCUUCUUCUCUAGCAGCCGAACAAGCACUAGCCUUGAAUCAACAUGAAACCCAUCGCAGCUCAUCCAGCUCACAGACACUGCUCCGUGAGCCACAACUACAGCUCUGAUUGCACAAGAGGCUGAUUUCAGUAACUCUCUCCUAAGCGACCCCGGACCACAGACGGGUUCUGACCGGUUUACAGAGGCUGCCUUCACAUUCUGAAAACACCUUUUGACAUACAGGACCUGACGAUUUCCGGCUUUGCCCUUUGGAGCCUGAGGAGCAAGGGUAGAAUGAGGAUCGUGAGGUUCUUCAGAGGCAGUUACUCACGAGGUCACAGCGCAGAAACGGCAAGAAAUGUCAGGACAACUAUGGAUGUGAAGGAUGGGAGAGGGGCCUCCUUCCGCAUGAGGUCCCCAGAGGAGAGGGGUUCAUCCUUCUCCAUCUAGGACUUGAGGGACAUCCUUCUCCAUCCAGGACUGAGAGGCAUCCUUCUCCUUGCAGUACCUGAGGGACAUCCUUCUCCAUUCAGGACCUGAGGAUGUCCUUCUCUGUACUCCCUUGGGACUGCACCCUUUCCUGUGCCAUCCUUCAGAAUGCUAGGCUGUCGCUGGUUGUGGAUUGAACUCUAGCAUCUUAUCUCUAUUCUAGGUGAAUCCCUUCACAUUUAUAGUGAUUUACCAUUUAAUCACUGUGCCAUUUUCCCCAAAAUAUGUGGGGUUUGGGGUUUGGUUUUUGUUCUUACUUCUAUUAAUUCUUCGGUUCCCACCUCCAGUUGUUUUGUAAUUUCUUUUACAACCUAAUAUGGUCCCAUUUGGUAAGUAUUACCAUGUACUAGAAAAUAAUGUAUAUUCAGUAUUUGUUGUGAUUUUUAAACCUUUAAUAAACUCAUAAGAUUUUUGUCUAUUUUCCAUUUAAAUUGAGAAGUACGAUCCCAAUGUUCCUCUCUCGAUCUGCUCCCGUUAGUCUCCAUGUGUGUCCUGGAGGUGAGGUCAGCAUUGGACUUAACCCUGUGUCACCUCCUUGGUUCUACUGCUCACCUGUGGCAUCCAUCCUGCUGUUUAUUAUUUUUUCCUUAAAUUGUAUUUGAACUAUUAAUUUUGCUACAGCAACUUGCUUUCUGUGAAUAUUUACUCAGUAGUUUCAUUUCCAUUCUUUUUUGCCCUUAAUUUGAAAGUGCUGCUUUGCUAUUGAUAAUUUUGUAUUUUAAUAUGUGAGGUUAAUUCCUCUGUGUUUGGUAGGAAAAAGUGAUACAUUUGAACUUAUUUCUAUUAUGUGAUUUUGGAUUUUGGAUUUGCAAAACUUUAUCCUUGAUUCUCUUUUCCUUUCUCCAGACUUAUUUUCAACUGACAUUUCCUUUUCCAUUUCCUUCUUAUGCUGAUUUGUAGGUUUUCCAGCCUAUUUACCGUUCUUUAGUGUCCUACAUUUUAAAAUAAUUCUUAAAUUAUCGACUAAUAAUUUUAAGCAUAUUGGAUUUGCGGUUUUCUCCCAGUGCUCUAGUUAUAAUCUCUUCUAUCUUGUCAUUUUAUUCUUGUUAUUUUUCUAUUAAUUCUUGAGAUAUAGGUAUUAGAAUUGUCAAAUUGUGAAUUUAAGCAUUUACCCUUUAAAUUUGGUUAUUUUUGCUUCAUAUAUUUUGUUAUUUUGUAUCAGGUGCAUGCAUGCUUAUGAUCAUUAGGUUUUCUAAGCAAGUGGACUCAUUAAUAUAAAAUGUCCUUCUCUGUCCCUGGCGAUGCUGGUCCUUCCUGUCGUCUGUCUCAUCUGCCAUCCAUACACCUGUGCAGCCUCCUGAUAACAAGUAUUUCUGUGGUAUACAUUUGUCCAUCUUUUCAGCUUGAAUCUAUUUGUAUCUUUAUCUUGAAAGAAUGUUUCUUUGUAAAAGCAUAUCGAGGCUUGCUUUUUACCUGCAUUGACAGUCUCUUUUUCACUGGCAGUGUUCAGUCAGUGCAGAUCUGCUAUUCCUGUGGUUGGGUUUAAGUCAGCACCUGAACCUGUUAUUUCCUCUGUUCCGCUUUCCUGGUCUUCUGGAUUAUUGUAGUUUUGCUUUGUCUGUUUGUUUGUUUAAUAAGAGUUUUUGGGUUGUCUUUUUAGUAUGGAUUUUGUACCUUGUUUUUUUUUAACUAUGACUUCUUGUUUUAUUUAUUUUCAGUGAGUCAUUUAGAAAUUAAAAUAUAAAUACUUAAAGUCUCAUAUUAAAUAAAGAUCAUAACAUUUUAUACAAAUAUAAAAUCCUUACUGCACCCUCCUCUCAGCUUCUGUACCAUGUUGUCAGUGAGGUUUCUUCUGCAUAUGUUGUAAUUUCCAGAGGAUGUCAUUAAAACAGUAAUUUUCCCUCCACCAUUUAUUGUUUUUGGCACUCUUUAAUCUUUUUUGUGAACUAGAAUUUCCAAUUGUUAUCAUUUUUCUUCAUCCUGUUUGCAUUUAUUGUGGUUUGGGUGUGAGGACCACAC